rnacentral:rRNA from 1 species
GAUUUGAUCUUGGCUCAGAACGAACGCUGGCGGCAUGCCUAACACAUGCAAGUCGAACGAGACCUUCGGGUCUAGUGGCGCACGGGUGCGUAACGCGUGGGAAUCUGCCCUCUGGUACGGAAUAACUCAGGGAAACUUGAGCUAAUACCGUAUAAUGACUUCGGUCCAAAGAUUUAUCGCCUGAGGAUGAGCCCGCGUAGGAUUAGCUUGUUGGUGAGGUAAAAGCUCACCAAGGCGACGAUCCUUAGCUGGUCUGAGAGGAUGAUCAGCCACACUGGGACUGAGACACGGCCCAGACUCCUACGGGAGGCAGCAGUGGGGAAUAUUGGACAAUGGGCGAAAGCCUGAUCCAGCAAUGCGCGUGAGUGAUGAAGGCCUUAGGUGUAAAGCUCUUUUACCCGGGAUGAUAAUGACAGUACCGGGAGAAUAAG